rnacentral:misc_RNA from 1 species
UUAACAAUUUAAAACAUAAAAAAUUUGCCACCCCCUAAAAAUUACCGCCCUAGGCUCGAGCCUCACGAGCCUAGUGAAUAAUCCGUUACUGAAGGUGAUGCUAUCACGAUGAUCGUUUUGUUUUGAUCGGCAGGGCUUUGAACUACCCGCCGAGCCAAGAGAUCUUCAGGAAACUGUACAUCACCACGCACACGAGACUGACGCCGUAUUUCGUGGGAAUGUACGCGGCCCACGUUUACCGAGGCAUACGAGCCAGCGAGCCGAACUACAAGUUUUCACAUCCGACGCUGCGUUUGUGGGCGAUUUUCUGGAGCUACAUAGCGUGGAUGACGUCCGUCGUCUACUUCUACGAGUACGAUUACAACCUCUGGGUCAGCGUGGUUUACGCGUUCGCGUUCCGUCUGGUGUUUGCCGUGCUCGUUUCGGCAUUCAUCAUCGUUUCCACCGUGAACUCUUGUUUCCAAGGAACUUGGAAACUUAUAUUUGCACCGAUUAGCAGGCUCGCAUAUUCGGCGUACAUAGGAGGACUCACCAUGCAAUUAUAUUAUACAGCAUCAACACGCACACCAUUGUAUUUCAAUCUAAUACGACUCACAUGGAUUACAAUAGGUGAUAUAACGAAUGGAUUUUUUAUUGCAUUUUUCUUGUACAUGUUGAUCGAGAGUCCGUUUGAAAAUCUGCUUAAACUAUUGAUUGGUAAAAUGAAAGAAGAAAUACACAAAGCUGAAGAACGAACACCCAACGAUGUAGAAAUGACACCAAGGAAUAUAGAAGAAUAAUGAUAGUAAAUAGAAAUACAAGUAUAUUUACAAGAUGUAAAAAAAUCGAAUAAGCCAGCAAAAUGAUUAUGGGAGUAAAUAUAUGCAACACAUGAGACAGCCCAGAUGUAUUAUAAUUCAAAUUAGAAACCAGUGUAUGAAAAUGAUGCAUGGCCAGAUAAAAUAAUAUUAUCGACUACCACCCAUUUGUACAAGCUAUCAUAUUUUUUACUUAGUAAACAUAAUGAGCUGAAAAGUUGAAUUCUUUAUGUAAUUCAAAGUUUCCUCGAAGUAUAUGCACCCGGCAGUGUUAAUCAGGAAUAUAUAAUUACAUGUAUAGAAUUAUAUGCGAAAGAUAGAGAACAUCCAUUUUUUUUUGUCUUGAAAAAUCGAUUAUAUUAUUAU